rnacentral:piRNA from 1 species
UGACACUUCUCUGUCAUGAAAGGGUGAUGC